rnacentral:lncRNA from 1 species
UUCAAAAGACUCGCCCGUGGAAAGGAUCACCAUGGAAGCUGUUGUGGUUAGACUUGAGAAAAUCAAAAGCGUGCUCAAACAAGUCAAAAGGGUACCAAGAUGAAGAAACAACGUAACUUGGUGAGUCGUUCGUCAAUACAUUAUCAACAUUACACUAUUUUUCAAUACUUUGCAAGUUAGCAUUACUUGUACUUAAAAUCAUUUCCGCAAGGAAUUAUUAUUAAUACUUAAAAUAUUUCACUUAUUGCUAGUACUUAUUGAUGUACCGAAUUGAUCGCUAUAGUAGUCGAAUAUGAUAACUAUUUUGACCAACUGUUAGCUUUUUCGGAAACUGUUUUGUACAACAUGAUUUCAGUGAUAAAUGCUUAAUUUGUUAUAUAUAAAUGAUUUUUAAUCCUCCUUUGCAUAUUAUUGGGCUAUCAGCUGAUUUCACUUAUCGUAUUUUUCAGAUUGUUAUCAAGUUUAUCAGCUCUUGGGCUAUCUGUUAGCAACUCGAGGACGAGCUAUGCGAGCUUGAAGAUAUUAAACUUCAGUUAUUUCCAUAAUUAUAGUUAUAAGUUAGUUACUGAUUGUCAAGACAGGUUGAUAUAUUUUAUUAUUUAUUUCGAGUUUGGUAUUGGAUUGUAACUGG